CCCCCCUCGCCCCCCCCGCCCCCCACCUCCCCUCCCCCUCCUCCCCUCCCCCUCCCGGUUUACCCCGCGGGGCUAGCGUGGGCGGGGCCGGGCAGCCCGGGGGUCUGGGGGGGUGGGGGGGGAGUACCCGGCAGGCGGCCCCCGGGUGCGCAGGGCCGAGCUCUGGGACCUCCCGUCGGUGCCCCGGACCAGCUGCGUCGAGGCCUGCGCCCAUCGCCUCCUCGAGCUUCCUCAGAGGGCGUUGGCCCUGCUGCCCGCCCGCAAAUCCAUCCCGGUCCCCGUCCCCACGAGGGUGGCCCGAGGGCCCGAGGAUGAACGGGGGUCGCAAAGCGCAGGAGGGCCCAGGUGGAGCUGGAGGCGCUGGGAAGCUGUCCCUCGGGCCACCACAAGAAGAGUGUCUUCAGCGAGUUGGUUUGGGAAACUCGGCUCCUGGAGAGGCGGUUGUGGGGGGCUGCGGGUGGGGCGCUGGGCCCAGCCCGGAGCAGGACCGGGCGCCGUGUUACCCCGUCGGCCACCUGAGGGUGAAGUCCCCAUCCAGGCUCCUCCGUCCGUCGCAGGAGGCCCCGAGCCGCUGUUCUCCGCCUUCACCGGGGAGAUGCCGGUGCCCCUCGGAACUGCGGGGUGAACUGAGGGGCGGAAUUCAAGACCUAGCGCUCCCUCCUUUAAAAGGAAGGCUGAUGCUGCUGUGCGUAGACACGCCUCCUGCCCGUGCGGACCCUCCCCGACCUGAGGAAAAGCCCGGCCCGGGCGCACCGGAGGUCUCCUGGCUCAGAACUGCGGCAGGAGCUCGAGGAUGUUGAUGAAGGGACUUCGUAGGUCCUCUCGAUUGUUUUCUUUGCUGUGGCAAAUGCCAGCUGUGUUGUUGUUUACAAAAGAAGGAAAGAAUAAUCGCGGUAGAAAUGAUAAGACUUUGGUCUAAAAUUCAC
rnacentral:lncRNA from 1 species